rnacentral:lncRNA from 1 species
GAGUAGGAGAUAGAGUCCAAAGAGCCUUGGACUCUAUCCUCUUUGUGCCACCCAACAAAAAAUAAUUACAACCAAAUUUUUACAUGCAAAAAAGGGAGAAUCUUUUCUUUCUUACACGUUGAUAUGGGGAGGAAAAAGUGGCGUUGAAGUGGCUUGAGGCAUGUGUGUUUUGGGCCCACAAAACAGGUUCAACGUUGGAGUCCUUUUGGUGCAAGAAAAGAAA